GGAUUAGAUACCCGGGUAGUCCCAGCUGUAAACGAUGCAGACUCGGUGAUGCACUGGCUAGUGGCCAGUGCAGUGCCGCAGGGAAGCCGUUAAGUUUGCCGCCUGGGAAGUACGUACGCAAGUUUGAAACUUAAAGGAAUUGGCGGGGGAGCACCACAAGGGGUGAAGCCUGCGGUUCAAUUGGAGUCAACGCCG
rnacentral:rRNA from 1 species